AGCCCUGUGGUGUACCACACGUUAGAUUGCAAAUCUGAAGAAGUAGGCUAAUAGCCUGCCGGGGCUUUC
rnacentral:tRNA from 1 species